rnacentral:rRNA from 1 species
AUUGAACGCUGGCGGAAUGCUUUACACAUGCAAGUCGAACGGCAGCACGGGGCAACCUGGUGGCGAGUGGCGAACGGUGAGUAAUACAUCGGAACGUGCCCAAUCGUGGGGGAUAACGUAGCGAAAGUUACGCUAAUACCGCAUACGAUCUACGGAUGAAAGCGGGGGAUCGCAAGACCUCGCGCGAAUGGAGCGGCCGAUGUCAGAUUUAGGUAGUUGGUGGGGUAAAGGCUCACCAAGCCGACGAUCUGUAGCUGGUCCUGAGAGGACGACCAGCCACACUGGGACUGAGACACGGCCCAGACUCCUACGGGAGGCAGCAGUGGGGAAUUUUGGGACAAUGGGCGCAAGCCUGAUCCAGCCAUUCCGCGUGCA